UACGUAGGGGGCUAGCGUUGUCCGGAAUCAUUGGGCGUAAAGAGCGUGUAGGCGGCCCGGUAAGUCCGCUGUAAAAGUCAAAGGCUCAACCUUUGAAUGUCAGUGGAUACUGCCGGGCUAGAGUCCGGAAGAGGCGAGUGGAAUUCCCGGUGUAGCGGUGAAAUGCGCAGAUAUCGGGAGGAACACCAAUGGCGAAGGCAGCUCGCUGGGACGUGACUGACGCUGAGACGCGAAAAGCGUGGGGAGCGAACAGGG
rnacentral:rRNA from 1 species